GAUCCACGUGACAUUAAAAUCAUUCAUUACAAAGGGUCAUGUGAACCAAAAAACUGCUUUUAAUUCAUUGAGCAUUUAUUUAAAUAAGUGUCUGUACUUUGUUCACAUACUGAAGAAGUGUUUUUGUGUGAACACAGACUCCACUCGGCAUCUGUAUGAGAGGAAGCUUGAAAAGGCGAUGGAGCAGGCUUCAGUGAAGACGUCCUCUGAUAAGACCUACUACAGAGAGGAAGAGGAGGAAGUUACCUACAUCACAUACCAGAAUGCAGCUACACGUAAGCGCUCUGCCAACACGUGAGUACUGCUAUAACCCACACAGAACAUCGCAAGGCACAUUAAAGACACUGAUGCAACACGACAUCCUGAUUAACCUGUUAGCAGAAAAAGAGCAGCAACCUGUUCUGUCGAGAUCUGUGAAGCUGAGGUGUUGAGGGUUUAUUUAGAUCAUCACCUGCAAAGUAUGUUUACCUUGAUUAUAAUGUGACUCUUUAAUGAUCUCAUGGAGGCCUGUCUUCAUUGUCCCCACAAACAACACUAGUGACACUAUUUCAGCAGCAAACGCACGGCUGAGGAGAGGUUAGAGCCACGGUGUCCAGCACCAGGCCUCGAGGGUCAGGGUCCUGCAGGUUUUAGAUGUGUCCUUGAUCCAUCACUGCUGAUUGAAAUGGCUAAAUGACCUCCUCAACAUGUCCUGAGGUUCUCCAGAGGCCUGGUAAUGAACUAAUCAGGUGUGCUGACCCAGGGUGAGAUCUAAAACCUGCAGGACACCGGCCCUCCAGGCCUGGAGUUGGACACCCCUGUGUUAGAGCAUCUGGAUGAGGCUCUAAUUUAAGAUCCUCUCGUGCUCUGAGACAAUGAUGGAUCGAUGAAGCCGCUCCACUGACAUGUGCAUUUCAAACAUGGUGCAUGCGUGUGCAUGCACAAAUGUGGACAUGAAACUAUAGUGAAGCAGAUUAAACAGAACAUGAAUCUCAUAAAAGUGAUAGUGUGGGUUUGUGGCAUUCAUGGGUAAACAACAUUCACCUUGACUGGCGAGAUACUGGUGGUUCUCGAUGCACCACUCUCUUUACUAACCAUUUAGAAACACCAGUUGCAACCUGCCAACAACCACCAGACUGGUUUACAAACAAC